CUGCUGAAGACUGGCCGCAAAAGACUUCAAGGAGAACCGACUUGUUUCACCGUUACCAACAGGUUCCAAUGGAAGGUGAUCGGCAGCAAUGGAAGCGGUGCUGAAGAGGUUCGAUUUGAAGACGCAACUAAUUUAGACCUUGGACGGGAAGAGGCACAAAUGCUGCGGAAAUAAUCGAAAAACUAUCUAUCGUAGUUUGAAGCCAGUGGAUUGAAGAUUGGUCGUUGAAAAUGUGACCAGAAGAUAUUGAUAAAACAGUGUUCUAAUGGUCUAUAAUGUCCGGCGCUUGCGGCCCUUUGCGUUCGCGAUUAAUAAUUUGCAAACUUUUUAGAAAAUCACAUUACAAACAUCUUUCAUCCUGUA